CACAGUCUUUAAAGUGUUACUAAAGAAGCUUAACAGCCCAUUGCAAAGGGUGUGCAUGGGGCGUCUGUACUCCAUAAAACCCGCUAUAAGUAAUGGUAUUUCAUCAGGAACUCUUAUGGAACAUACAGUGCUUGCUUUAUGGAGAUGGUUAAAGGCAGCAGGUCUGCAGGCAACAAGAAGGACCUACUGAGGUCAUUUGAAGUUCAUCUUUACUGUAGCAGGAAAUCCUGAAGGACAUGUGAGGCCAUGAGAUUAAGGCAUGAGGACUUCGCUAUGCACUAGGAGAUGAUCAGCUUUGGCUAAACAGGAGAAAAUGAAAGAGUGGGGGGAGCCUAACAUAUUAAGCUGGAGCUCCAUUCAUUCUGUUUGACUGCGAUUCCUUCCUGGAGGACGACAUCGUCCUGAGA